UGUCCAGUAGCACCUUAGAGACCAACUGAGUUUGUUCUGGGUAUAAGCUUUCGUGUGGUCUCUAAGGUGCUACUGGACA